rfam:Asian citrus Psyllid, Diaphorina citri - Florida Strain, whole genome shotgun sequence.
ACCUCGGUGGUGUAAUGGUCAAGGCGCUCGUCUGGUAAACAGGAGGGCGUGGGUUCAAUCCCACAGCCGAGGUA